rnacentral:sRNA from 1 species
GCUGGGCGUGGUGGUGCAUACCUGUAAUCUCUGCUACUCAGGAGGCUGAGGCAGGAGGAUCACAAGUUCGAGGCCAGCCUGGGCAACUCAAUGAGACCCUGUCUCAA